rnacentral:rRNA from 1 species
CCAGACUCCUACGGGAGGCAGCAGGUAAGAAUAUUCCGCAAUGGGGGGAACCCUGACGGAGCGACGCCGCGUGAACGAAGAAGGCCGGAAGGUUGUAAAGUUCUUUUCUGUCCGAGGAAUAAGUGUAGGAGGAAAUGCCUGCAUGGUGACGGUAGGGCAGGAAUAAGCACCGGCUAAUUACGUGCCAGCAGCCGCGGUAACACGUAAGGUGCGAGCGUUGUUCGGAAUUAUUGGGCGUAAAGGGCAUGCAGGCGGGUCGCCAAGCUUGGUAAGAAAUACCGGGGCUCAACUCCGGAGCUAUAUUGAGAACUGGCGAGCUGGAGUUGCCGAAGGGUAUCCGGAAUUCCGCGUGAAGGGGUGAAAUCUGUAGAUAUGCGGAAGAACACCGAUGGCGAAGGCAGGAUACCGGCGGACGACUGACGCUGAGGUGCGAAGGUGCGGGGAGCAAACAGGAUUAGAUACCCUGGUAGUCCGCACAGUCAACGAUGUACACUGGGCGUGUGCGCAAGAGCGUGCGUGCCGAAGCAAACGCGAUAAGUGUACCGCCUGGGGAGUAUGCCCGCAAGGGUGAAACUCAAAGGAAUUGACGGGGGCCCGCACAAG